CGGACGGGUGAGUAACACGUUGGAUAACCUACCUAUAAGACUGGGAUAACUUCGGGAAACCGGAGCUAAUACCGGAUAAUAUAUUGAACCGCAUGGUUCAAUGGUGAAAGACGGUUUUGCUGUCACUUAUAGAUGGAUCCGCGCCGCAUUAGCUAGUUGGUAAGGUAACGGCUUACCAAGGCAACGAUGCGUAGCCGACCUGAGAGGGUGAUCGGCCACACUGGAACUGAGACACGGUCCAGACUCCUACGGGAGGCAGCAGUG
rnacentral:rRNA from 1 species